GACGAACGCUGGCGGCGCGCUUAACACAUGCAAGUCGAACGGAAGGGCCUGCUUUCCCUUGUGGAUUGCGGGUACUCGAGUGGCGAACGGGUGAGUAACACGUGAGUGAUCUGCCCCCAACUUGGGUAUAAGCCUGGGAAACUGGGUCUAAUUCCCGAUAGGACUGCAGGGUGGUGCCUGUGGUGGAAAACGAUUUUCUAGUGGUUGGGGAUGAGCUCGCGGCCUAUCAGCUUGUUGGUGGGGUAAUGGCCUACCAAGGCGGCGACGGGUAGCCGGCCUGAGAGGGUGGACGGCCACAUUGGGACUGAGAUACGGCCCAGACUCCUACGGGAGGCAGCAGUGGGGAAUAUUGCACAAUGGGCGGAAGCCUGAUGCAGUGACGCCGCGUGGGGGAUGACGGCCUUCGGGUUGUAAACUCCUUUCGACCGCGAGGAAGCCACCUGGUUGGAAGGGUGGUGGCGGUAGUGGUAGAAGAAGCACCGGCUAACUACGUG
rnacentral:rRNA from 1 species